GUUCCCUGUGAUGAUUUUAAAAUCAAUACCAUGCUAAUGUAUAUCUGAUAAAUUUUUUAUUUGAUUUAUAAGUGAUUUGCUGAGGGAACA
rnacentral:snoRNA from 1 species